rnacentral:rRNA from 1 species
AUUGAACGCUGGCGGGAUGCCUUACACAUGCAAGUCGAACGGAGCGGCGGACGGGUGAGUAAUGUAUAGGAACGUGCCCAGUAGCGGGGGAUAACGACGCGAAAGCGUCGCUAAUACCGCAUACUAUUGGAUCGGCCGAUGUCGGAUUAGCUAGUUGGUGGGGUAACGGCCUACCAAGGCGACGAUCCGUAGCUGGUCUGAGAGGAUGACCAGUCACACUGGAACUGAGACACGGUCCAGACUCCUACGGGAGGCAGCAGUGGGGAAUAUUGGACAAUGGGCGAAAGCCUGAUCCAGCCAUGCCGCGUGUGGGAAGAAGGUCUUCGGAUUGUAAAGCACUUUAAGUGGGGAGGCGUUACCAACAGAAUAAGCACCGGCUAACUUCGGGCCAGCAGCCGCGGUAAUAC